UGAGUCAGCCAGGCGGCCGCGUCGGUGAGGCCCCCGGGCCCCACCGCCGAGGAACGUCCGGGCUCCGUAGGGCAGGGUGGUGGGUAACACCCACCCGGGGUGACCCGCGGGACAGUGCCACAGAGAACAGACCGCCCCGACGUGCCGGUUCGCCGGCCCGGCCGGGGUAAGGGUGAAACGGUGGUGCAAGAGACCACCAGCGCACCGGGUGACCGGUGCGGCUCGGCAAACCCCACCCGGAGCAAGACCAGACAGGGAGCGUUCGAGGGCGGCCCGCCCGAGCUCCCGGGUAGGUCGCUGGAGGCGUGCGGCAACGUACGUCGUAGAUGGAUGGCCGCCACCCGUGCGUGGGCGACCGCGCACGGGGACAGAACCCGGCGUACCGGCUGACUCAUCCG
rnacentral:RNase_P_RNA from 2 species